rnacentral:lncRNA from 1 species
AUGGCCUGCCUGCCUUCCUUAAGAGGAGACAGGCCACAGAGCGUCUCACUUCCAGCUGUUUGGCAAGGUGAGAAAGAAGUCGCUUUCCACAGGGCUCUUACAGCCUAUUGGGAACCUCUCAUACAAAAGCCUGAAAUGCAGUUUGUUUCCAGCCAUGAUUUCACUGCCUUGGAAUCUCUGCUCUAAGCCAUAUCCCACUUUACUCCAGAGAUGGAAGACACAAAGCGGUGAAUCAUUGCCGCCAAAGGAGACAAGCCACAAACGCUCUUCUUUCCAGCUCUUUGGGAAGGUAAGCAACAAAUAACUCUCCACUGUGCUCUUACAGCCUACCGGGAACGUCUCUCAGAAAGAUCUGUGAAACGCAGAUUCUUCCCAACCCUGAUCUCACUGAAGUAGAACUUCUUCUCUGCCGUGAUCUACAUUGCCCUAUAGGUGCAAGGCACAAAGUCCUGCCUCGUUUCCUUCAAGUGAAGACAGCCCACAAAGCGUCUUGCUUCCAGCACUUUGGGAAUCUAAGAAACAACUCGCUCUCCACAGUGCUCCUACAGCCUACCGGGAAAAUCUCUUACAAAGGACAGGGAAACACAGUUGCUUUCCAUCCCUGAACUGGCUGAAGUAGAAAUUGUGCUCUGCCAUGUCCUACAUUGCUCUAGAGGUGGAAGUCACAGAGUGCUGAGUCAUUGCCUCCAAAGAAUACAAGCCACAAACGGUCUUGCUUCCAGCGCUAGGAAGCUAAGAAAUAACUGCCUCUCAAUAGUGCUCUUACAUCUACUGGGAACAUCUCUCACAAAGAUCGGUGAAACGCAGUUUCUUCCCAGCCUUGAUCUUGCUGAAGUAGAACUUCUGCUCUGCCAUGUCCUACGUUGCCCUAGAGUUGCAAGGCAAAAUGUCCUGCAUUGUUUCCUAAAGGCAGGCAAACCAGAAAGCAUCUUGCUUCCAGCUGGUUUGGAAGCUAAGAAGCAACUCACUCUCCACAGUGCUCUUAGAGCCUACCGUGAACAUCUCUUACAAAGGCCUGUGAAACGCACUUUCUUCCCACACCUGAUCUCGCUGAAGUAGACCUUCUGCUCUGCCAUGUCCUACAUUGUGCAAGAGGUGGAAGUCACAAUGACCUGCCUGACUUCCUUAAGAGGAAACAGGCCAUAGACUGUGUUCCUCCCAGCUGUUUGGCAAG